UUCAUGAAGCGGCUAAGUCUUUUGAAGAUUAAAACAAGGCGGGGAACAAAAAUUUCUAAGUUUCACACUUGCAUUAUUUUUCUCACUUUGAACGACAAACCCUAACCUCACUUCCUCCUCCGUUCUCAACCAGACCCCGACCCCAACCUCCUCCUCCAUUCUCUAGCUCAGACCCCGACCCCAACCUCCUCCUCCUCCGACUUAUCCUUCGGCGUCGAUUGUAACCUAUGAGUGAAGGAGGCUGUAAUCUGCCUCUACUUAUGCCUCCUUUUUUGGUCCUUUUUCUCUCAAGCUUUACCCUAAUCCUUUUACUCGAUCUCAGCCUCUAUGGCCCCAAACGAGGACGUUUUGGUUGAAGAAAGAAUUGCAAAUAGUCCAGAGCCCAUGAAGGAUUGAAAUCUGGUGGUUGGUUUGGUGUUAGUUGUUGGACUGCUUCUUAGCCUUUAAGUCUGGAAAAAGAGUUUACUUGUCAAAUUUCCUUUCUUUAUCGACCUUUUGUUUUCGAGUUUUAGUGUAUCUUUAGUAUGAAUUGAUUUGUUGCUUUUGUUUUUCUGGGGAUUUCUUUCUAUGAGUUGAAAAUUUAUAUCUUUUGCAAGUCUUUUGUGCCGGAGACUGUCACUCUCUGUUACCAGGAGCUGGAGGUCCAUAAAUUACUCGACUCGGCGGACAUUUGGGCCGUCGGCUGCAUCUUCGCUACUUUUAAUUUCCAUUCGUACUUUCUUAAUUCACAGCAUGGUGACCGUUGCUCCUCCUGCAGAUCAAGCAGCAAAUUUGCUUAAGAAGUUGUCAUUAGAUUCGCAGACCAAGACCCUGGAAAUUUCAGAGCCUACAAAGAAGCCUUCUGUUAACCAAUAUGGGUCUAUUGAUUAUGGCAAUGCUGCAAAUGGUCAGAUCUAAUUUGAUCUCUCUAUGACUCCACUGUCGACUGAUUUCGUGGAUCAAUCUUUCUCCUAUCUCCUAAAUGGUUAUCCAUCAACAACCUAUUAUUAUAGAGGCUAUGAUGGGACUGGCGACUGGGAUGAGUACUGGGGAUAUAUGAAUCCAGAGGGAGUAGAUAUGACUUCUGGGUUUAUGGAGAUAACGGAUCUCUUAUGUACCACCAUGGUUAUGGGUAUGCACUGUAUAGGCCUUAUUCACCAGCAGCUUCCCCUGCCUCGUCUAUGGGAAAUGAUGGGCAGCAUAGACCUGUAGCAAAUACACCCAUUACUUCUUCAAACUCGAAUGGCAAUAGAAUUCCAUCUUUGAGGAAUCAAAACUACCGUCCAAAUUCUCACUUCAUGUUUGAUACAAUUGUAACAAACAACAUAUUUGGCGAUAUAUUAUCUGAUGAGGCCUCAAUGAUUACUGGAAGUAUUGGGAUGCUUCCAUCUACAAGUCUUGGAGAACCACUGCAAUAUUGGUGAGGGAGGUAUUGCCCUUGAAGCUGUACAUGGAUUGGCACCUGAUAUUGCUAGAAAGGUCGAUCUGGUGAACCAGAAAGAAGCAGCCUAGUAUCCUAAAUUAAAAGUCAACGUGGUUAAUGAAUGAGAGAUUUUGUUUUUGGGAGAUUAUUAUAGAAAUGUGGCUACCCUUAGAUGGUUGCAAAAUUGUUUUCUACUUGACAAGUGGGCGGUAAAGACGCGCAAAUCAUAUAGCCAAAAAGAAAUUGACGAGGUGCUCAUUGAAGUAGCUAAUUAUUUACAGAGUUUGGUGUAGGACUUUUGUCUACCAACAUGAUUUUGGGGAAACUUGGUGCUACAAAAGAAUUUGCUGGGAAGGCUCACUGCUCGUAGUGUAGUGCAGAAAAACAGAAGGCUUGUUUGUCUAAAUUUAUGGGGAGUCUUUUUCCCCAAUCAAUUUAUGGGUCUUGUUAAUUCAUUACCUAGACUCUUUGACAGCCAAACACUCAGCUAACAAAAACCAAGCUAUCUCUAUUCUCUUUCCAUUCCGCUCCCACUUCUCUCCUAAGCUCUCAAAUACUUGAAUCUUCUCACUUCAUUUUCAUCUAAGGUCGAAAAUCAGUAGCUACUUUACCUCUAUGCCUUGCUUCUCAUCAUGUUACGAGGUAUGAAGAUAGGAUUGAUCAAACCUCCUUCCGCACAUUUCCAAUUUCGCAGCUCCAGGUCUUCUCUAUUUUUUAUGUCUUGUAAACCUCCUCUAAUUCACUUAUUUCACUAUGACAUAACAAAUGGAGGACUUUGAGAUUUCAAACCACUGAGCUUCUCUCUAUUUUGCUUCAAUACCAGAAAUUUUCUUUCCUUUCGGUAAGAACUUCUACUUUAUGUUAAAUUCCAGUUCUUAAAGCUAUUCAAGGUUAUAAUGGAAUGCACUUUUGAUUAUUAUGUUUUGGUAAACCCAUGAGGAUGGAUAGGACUGGAAAAGACCAAAGUUCAAUUACUGCACUCCAAGUGUUUGAUGUUAUGCCUCAAAGACAACACCAAGCUGAACCAGUGGGAUAUUCCAUGAUUUUCGAAAAAACCAUACUUCUUGUUUUACUCUCAGUUUUUGACAGCUUAAAGUAGACUCUUCAAUGAUCAUUUUGAGCUUGGUUUCAAGAAAAACGGAGUUAAACUGAGAUGCUUAUGCUAUUUUGAAGUUACUGCACUGUUUCAGGAUUUCUGCAGAAUCAACGUUUCUGUCAAUUUUAGAUUCUUGUUUGACCCUCCAUUUGAACUUCGAUUAGCAUGAAACUUUGCAAAAUAGUAGCUUUGCAUGUUUACUUCAAAUCUGGAAAGUUUUGCUUGAAAUCACUGAAAGAAUAAUUGUUGGUGAAAUUUUCUUGCUUGUUACCAGUUUUCUGAAAUUUUCUCAAACUUGCAGCUUAUUCUUACAAACAAUUGAUUUGAGAACCUUUACACUUGUUUUUUGUCCUCGUUCUUCAGUAAGUUAGAUUAGAAAUGCAAAGCAUGCCCUGAAACUUAACUUCAGUUCGAAAGGGUUAGAAAAAAGUUUUGUCUUUGUCCGAAAGUGACUACAAACCAGUGUUUUCUAUGCAUUCUAAUCAGAACAUUUUGAUCAAUGUUUUCUUCUCAGAAUAAGCCCACAUAUGGUGAAGCUCUAGCUAUUGCCUAGUCUCUAAUUGAGUGAUUUAUUGAGUUCUAGGAUUUGCCCAAUCGAAGUAUGUGACCUUAAUUCCUAUACCACUCAGUCAUUUGAACAAAUUUAAAAGUUCAACCGUUGUACCGAGUCGGGGCCUCCAUCAUUCGCAAACACAUAAGUAGAAGAACCUUACUGUUCAAAAAUCACAAUCAAGAUUGGUCAGAGGAACAACAAAAGCCCUAGAAUUAUAGUCCUCCACUUUAUUGAAUAGCAUUGUUCCAAUGGAGAAGGAUCAGAAGGUACCAUCUGAAGACCCCAAGGUGGAUAUGUUCGAGGACGAUGACGAGUUUGAAUUGUUCAACAUCAAUCUAGGUUGCUUGAUUUCUGCUAUACUUCCCCAUGAAACUAGCAAGUUUAUGAUUGAGCUCGUAAGUGUUAAACGUGAUGAGUUGAUAAUAUAGGUAUGCAAUCCUCCUGUUUUUUUUCCUCUCUCUUAUUCUCACCUUUUGAAUGGAUUCUGUGAUCAGUUUGUUUUUUUAGAUUGAUUUGCCAAACGACUGUGGUCACUCAAUUCAACUUGGAACUAUGAUUUUUUUUUUUUUUGGGUGCUUCUGUGUAAUGAAUUUGAUUGUAGUGACACCUUCUAAUUAUGUUUUGCUUUUUGUUGCGAGGAUCAUGUGUGUUCUGUGAGACGUUGUGAGAAAUUCUAAAACUUUGAUGGGCGAUCUUAGGCCUUGGUCGCUUGAGCGAAAUGGCGCUGUUUUGGAGGAGAGGCCGACCUGAUCUUCUUCAUCCGUGUUUUCAAUUUCAACAAAUUAGAGGGACGUUUCUGCCGAGUACUGGCGGAGAGCGGAGGAGGCAAUGCAGGGGGUUAUAGCUCAGAUCCAACGUACUCACGUCUCCGAGCGGAGAAGGAAAGCCGCCAUUGAUUACGUUCAGAGGAUCAUUGGAGCUUGUAUUGGUUGUUAGGUGUUCUCGUUUGGAUCAGUACCUCUGAAGACGUAUCUACCGGAUGGAGUGCUGUUCUUUGAAAGGGAAGAUCACAGUAUGGCUGCUGAGUUUAUGGUGAAGGACAUGCAGUUAAUUCGGGCAAAGAACAAAUGGGGGACUCUGAGAUUUCAAACCACUAACCUCUCUAUUUUGAUCAGUAUCAGAAACUUUCUUUUGGAUCAAGGGCUCAAGUGGACUGAAGAUUGGUCCUUUGGUACUUGCUGGGAGUUGCACAUCAAGGAUUCCAGUGGUGACCUGAGAGUGAAGGGAGCAAAACGACUACCUUGGGUUUCGAUCCCCUAAACCUCCGGAGGGGCUAUACGGACUGGAGGAUGUCUAACAUCCUUUGAGGUGUGGCGUCACUCCUAGGUGGUAUGGCGUAAACGGCCACUCUUACUACUUCUUGCUGGCUAUUUGUGUACUUACAUUGGCAAGUUAAGCUUGUAAAGUGCCUUGUGCAAAAUAUUGUGGUUGAUGUAUCCUUCAAUCAGUUAGGAGGGCUAUGUACGUUAUGCUUUCUUGAGCAGGUUGAUCGCCUCAUUGGCAAACAUCAUCUCUUUAAACGUAGUAUCAUACUGAUUAAGGCAUGGUGCUAUUGUGAGAGUCGAAUUCUCGGUGCCCAUCACGGUUUGAUAUCUACAUAUGGUUUGGUGACCUUAGUUCUUUUUAUCUACGUGUCAUUGUUUCAGGUGAAAGGAGAGUGAUACUAAGGGACCACAGUAUGCAAACAACACUUCAAAACUUGAAUCUGAUCUCUCAAGUCAGUGGAGAUCGCUCAUUCACAUGGAGGAUAUCUUUGUAAAUGAAGGCAACCACUUUGUGAGUGUAGCCACCUUCUUGUUUUAUUUAUUAUAAACUUACCUAUUUUUGAGCAUUUGUCAUGCUCUCCAAUGUCUCAAUUUUUAUGAAAAUGAUCCAAACUCUUUUGCUCUACAAUCCAAAUUAAAUAGCCUAAGUUUGUCAGUUCCUUAAA